rnacentral:rRNA from 1 species
UCGCCCUUUCCAGGCCUACGGGUUGUAAACUGCUUUUAUGAAGGAAGAAAGGUUGGCAUUUAUGCUGAUUUGACGGUACUUCAGGAAUAAGCACCGGCUAACUCCGUGCCAGCAGCCGCGGUAAUACGGAGGGUGCGAGCGUUAUCCGGAAUCACUGGGUUUAAAGGGUGCGUAGGCGGCCUGAUAAGUCAGAGGUGAAAGUCUGCGGCUUAACCGUAGAAUUGCCUUUGAUACUGUUGGGCUUGAGUCAGGUUGAGGUUGGCGGAAUGUGACAUGUAGUGGUGAAAUGCGUAGACAUCGGGAGGAACACCCGUGGCGAAGGCGGCCUUCUGGGCUGUUCCUGACGCUGAAGGCGAAAGCUAGGGGGGCGAACGGAAUUAGAUACCCCGGUAGUCCUAGCUGUAAACGAUGGAUGCUGGGUGUGGGGGGUGUAAAUUCCCUCUGUGCCGAAGCAAACGCGUUAAGCAUCCCGCCUGGGGACUACGGCCGCAAGGCUAAAACUCAAACGAAUUGACGGGGGCCCGCACAAGCAGCGGAGCGUGUGGUUUAAUUCGAUGCUACACGAAGAACCCUACCUGGGUUUGACAUGCACGUGGUAGGGAACCGAAAGGGGACCGACCUUCGGGAGCGUGCACAGGUGCUGCAUGGCUGUCGUCAGCUCGUGCCGUGAGGUGUCGGGUUAAGUCCCGUAACGAGCGCAACCCUUGCCCUUAGUUACAAGUGUCUAAGGGGACUGCCCGGGACAACUGGGAGGAAGGUGGGGAUGACGUCAAGUCAGCAUGGCCUUUAUAUCCAGGGCUACACACACGCUACAAUGGCCGGUACAAUAGGUUGCGAAGUCGUGAGGCGGAGCCAAUCCUCAAAGCCGGUCUCAGUUCGAAUUGCAGUCUGCAACUCGACUGCAUGAAGCUGGAGUUGUAGUAAUCGCAGGUCAGCUAUACUGCGGUGAAUACGUUCCCGGGCCUUGCACUCACCGCCCCUC